rnacentral:rRNA from 1 species
AUGAACGCUGGCGGCGUGCCUAAUGCAUGCAAGUCGAGCGAACGGACGAGAAGCUUGCUUCUCUGAUGUUAGCGGCGGACGGGUGAGUAACACGUGGAUAACCUACCUAUAAGACUGGGAUAACUUCGGGAAACCGGAGCUAAUACCGGAUGAUAUUUUGAACCGCAUGGUUCAAAAGUGAAAGACGGUCUUGCUGUCACUUAUAGAUGGAUCCGCGCUGCAUUAGCUAGUUGGUAAGGUAACGGCUUACCAAGGCAACGAUGCAUAGCCGACCUGAGAGGGUGAUCGGCCACACUGGAACUGAGACACGGUCCAGACUCCUACGGGAGGCAGCAGUAGGGAAUCUUCCGCAAUGGGCGAAAGCCUGACGGAGCAACGCCGCGUGAGUGAUGAAGGUCUUCGGAUCGUAAAACUCUGUUAUUAGGGAAGAACAUAUGUGUAAGUAACUGUGCACAUCUUGACGGUACCUAAUCAGAAAGCCACGGCUAACUACGUG